rnacentral:rRNA from 1 species
AGUGAACGCUGGCGGCAGGCCUAACACAUGCAAGUCGAACGGCAGCACAGUAAGCGCUUGCUCUUACGGGUGGCGAGUGGCGGACGGGUGACGAAUACAUCGGCAUCUUCUUUUUCGUGGGUGAUAACGUAGGGACACUUACGCUAAUACCUCAUAUGACCUACGGGUGAAAGCAGGGGAGCUUCGGACCUUUCGCGUCUCUAUGAGCCGAUGUCGGAUUAGCUAGUUGGCGGGGUAAAGGCCUACCAAGGCGACGAUCCGUAGCUGAUCUGAGAGGAUGAUCGGCCACACUGGAACUGAGACACGGUCCAGACUCCUACGGGAGGCAGCAGUAGGGAAUAUUCGACAAUGGGCGAAAGCCUGAUCCAGCCACACCGCGUGAGUGAAGAAGGCCUUCGGGUUGUAAAGCCCUGUUGUUGGGGAAGAACAGCAGCAGGAGAAUACCUCGCUGUUUUGACGGUACCCAAAGAAUAAGCAACGGCUAACUUCGUG